GGCUCGCAGAGGGCGCCUCAGACGCUCGGACCGGGGUGUUGGCGGUGCGGACAGCUGGGUCACCUGCGCCGCGAUUGUCCACUUAUGGAAGUGGGGCAGGUGGUCCGGGUGGUCGGGCCGCCCACUUCCGCUCCCGAUCAGGAGGGAGCGUACUGCAUCCCGUGAGCCUGGACGUUUAAAAGCGGCUCGACAGAGAGAGAAGGGGGAGAACUGGAGGAGGAAGAAGAGCUGACGGGCAGUCAGCCGUGAAUUGUAACAUACCUUGUGUAUUGUGUAUUGUGUUUUGCGUAUUGCGAACAGAAAGCCGCGUGGCGGCCGGAAAAUAAAAAGACGCAGUCGCGUCCUGAAAAAGAA